GGUUCAGUGGUCUAGUGGUUAUGAUUUCUGUCUUACAGUCUUUGAACUUCUGUGUGCACAGACGGUCCCCGGUUCGACCCCGGGCUGAACCA